AGCGCCAGGGAAUUACGAGCAAUGCUUAAAACCCAAAGGAUUUGACGGUAUCCCAUACACCUAGAGGAGCCUGUUCUAUAAUCGAUAACCCCCGCUAUACCCAACCACCCCUAGCCUAUCAGUCUGUAUACCUCCGUCGAAAGCCUACCAUGUGAAUGUUCUCAGUAAGCUUAAUGUCCUCAUCAGAACGUCAGGUCAAGGUGCAGCUCAUGGGAUGGAAAGCAAUGGGCUACAAUUUCUAAUUUAGAACAUACGAAAUAUUAGGUGAAACCCUAGUCAUGAAGGCGGAUUUAGCAGUAAAAAGAAAAUAGAGUGUUCUUUUUAACCUGGCCCUGGGAUGUGUACACACCGCCCGUCACCCUCUUCGACAAUUAUUAAUUCUGUUUCAUAACUCCCCUCCCCCACCCUAGAAGAGGCAAGUCGUAACAUGGUAAGUGUACUGGAAAGUGCACUUGGCUAAUCA
rnacentral:rRNA from 1 species